rnacentral:ncRNA from 2 species
CGAGGCCGCGCGGGAGAGUUCCGACCCUGUCCGGGCCGGGCGCCGAAGGAGCAAGUCCUCCCUUGAAUCUCUCAGGCACAGAUACCGCGCGGGCGAG